AGACGUCUACAUUAGAUACCCGGGUAGUCCCAGCCGUAAACUAUGCGCGUUAGGUGUACUGGUGACCACGAGUCACCGGGGUGCCGAAGGGAAACCGUGAAACGUGCCGCCUGGGAAGUACGGUCGCAAGGCUGAAACUUAAAGGAAUUGGCGGGGAGCACCACAACGGGUGGAGCCUGCGGUUUAAUUGGACUCAACGCCGGGAAGCUCACCGGAUAAGACAGCGGAAUGAUUGCCGGGCUGAAGACUCUGCAUGACUAGCUG
rnacentral:rRNA from 1 species